rnacentral:rRNA from 1 species
UACGGAGGGAGCUAGCGUUGUUCGGAAUUACUGGGCGUAAAGCGCGCGUAGGCGGCUUUGUAAGUUAGAGGUGAAAGCCCGGGGCUCAACCCCGGAACUGCCUUUAAAACUGCAUCGCUUGAAUCCGGGAGAGGUGAGUGGAAUUCCGAGUGUAGAGGUGAAAUUCGUAGAUAUUCGGAAGAACACCAGUGGCGAAGGCGGCUCACUGGACGGCAUUGACGCUGAGGUGCGAAAGCGUGGGGAGCAAACAGG